UCACAACCCUUGCCACAUCAUGUCUGCC
rnacentral:piRNA from 1 species